rnacentral:rRNA from 1 species
AUUGAACGCUGGCGGCAUGCCUUACACAUGCAAGUCGAACGGUAACAGGUCUUCGGAUGCUGACGAGUGGCGAACGGGUGAGUAAUACACCGGAACGUGCCUAGUAGUGGGGGAUAACUACUCGAAAGAGUGGCUAAUACCGCAUGAGAUCUACGGAUGAAAGCAGGGGAUCGCAAGACCUUGUGCUACUAGAGCGGCCGAUGGCAGAUUGGGUAGUUGGUGGGAUAAAAGCUUACCAAGCCGACGAUCUGUAGCUGGUCUGAGAGGACGAUCAGCCACACUGGGACUGAGACACGGCCCAGACUCCUACGGGAGGCAGCAGUGGGGAAUUUUAGACAAUGGGCGCAAGCCUGAUCCAGCAAUGCCGCGUGCAGGAUGAAGGCCUUCGGGUUGUAAACUGCUUUUGUACGGAACGAAAAGCCCUGGGUUAAUACCCUGGGGUCAUGACGGUACCGUAAGAAUAAGCACCGGCUAACUCCGUGCCAGCCGCCGCCGUAAUAC